rnacentral:lncRNA from 1 species
CCCAUUCCCUUAAGUAAGGAUCAGACAGAUUCUUUGGCAUGGCUAAAUUUUGAACUUGGUGUCUAUUUUGAUCAAUUCCUGUAUACAACAUAGCAGGUUUUUCACCUGGGAGUAUAGUGGCUGAACCUGACCAACAACUGUUUAUGUCACCAGGUAUAGUUGGUACAAUAGCAUCAUUUAGAUGAUCCAAUUUAUGAGAUCUUUGGAUAUUGAAUGACCCCAUACCAUUUUAUUCACACCAAAGCUUGCUCCAUCAGGGUUAUGUUGGUAGAAGAAAUGGUAAAAUCCUUUAUAGUACAUUGGUCCUGA